AUGCAAGUCGAGCGAUGAAGCUUCCUUCGGGAAGUGGAUUAGCGGCGGACGGGUGAGUAACACGUGGGUAACCUGCCUCAAAGUGGGGGAUAGCCUUCCGAAAGGAAGAUUAAUACCGCAUAAUAUAAGAGAAUCGCAUGAUUUUUUUAUCAAAGAUUUAUUGCUUUGAGAUGGACCCGCGGCGCAUUAGCUAGUUGGUAAGGUAACGGCUUACCAAGGCAACGAUGCGUAGCCGACCUGAGAGGGUGAUCGGCCACAUUGGAACUGAGACAC
rnacentral:rRNA from 1 species